rnacentral:rRNA from 1 species
AGUGAACGCUGGCGGCGUGCUUAACACAUGCAAGUCGAACGAGAACGGAUUAUAGCUUGCUAUAAUUGUCAGCUAAGUGGCGCACGGGUGAGUAAUGUAUGGGUAAUAUGCCUCUUACUAAGGGAUAACAAAUGGAAACGUUUGCUAAUACCUUAUACUCCUUAUUAACAGAAGUUAAUAAGGGAAAGAUUUAUUGGUAAGAGAUUAGCCUGUAUUGUAUCAGUUAGUUGGUGGGGCAAUGGCUUACCAAGACUAUGACACAUAACUGGUUUGAGAGGAUGAUCAGUCACACUGGAACUGAGACACGGUCCAGACUCCUACGGGAGGCAGCAGUGGGGAAUAUUGCACAAUGGACGAAAGUCUGAUGCAGCAACGCCGCGUGGAGGAUGACACAUUUCGGUGCGUAAACUCCUUUUAUAUGAGAAGAUAAUGACGGUAUUAUAUGAAUAAGCACCGGCUAACUCCGUGCCAGCAGCCGCGGUAACAC